UACGAAGGGGGCGAGCGUUGUUCGGAUUUACUGGGCGUAAAGGGCGCGCAGGCGGCUAUCCAAGUCAGGCGUGAAAGCCCCGGGCUUAACCUGGGAACUGCGUCUGGGACUGGGUGGCUAGAGUUCGGGAGAGGAGAGUGGAAUUCCCAGUGUAGAGGUGAAAUUCGUAGAUAUUGGGAAGAACACCGGUGGCGAAGGCGGAUCUCUGGGCCUUGCCUGACGCUGAGGCGCGAAAGCUAGGGGAGCGAACAGG
rnacentral:rRNA from 1 species